rnacentral:lncRNA from 1 species
UUGUAGUUGAAGGAGACACACAGUACGCCUUCCCACGGUUUCAAGACCGAAACAAGAAGCACAAAGAAGUGACACGAAGUCUGUCAAAACAAUGUUUCAAAUAAACCCGUUUAUAUGGCAUUCAUGAACAUGCUCCUUCCAAAAAUGCUUCCAUGAUGAACGAGAGUUAUACCCGUAACGGGUAACAAACAAUUUGAUUUGAUCAUCCAACUGGCCAUGCUAAUUUCUAAUCAACUAUACACACAACACUUCCAUUACAAAACAUUAUCGUAUCAUCGAAAGAAGAACGUUUCAUAAAAUAAUACCUCAGAAAUGCGAUUCAUAGAUAAAGUACGAAAAUAACUUCAAACAGAUAUUGUCAUAUAUAGUUCUGAACAUCACGAUAAUUGAAAUUAACAAAACAUAUGAAUAACGUUAGAUUAUUACAAAACAACGAAUAGAUGCUAGUGCAGGAAGACCGGACAUAUUUUAAUUAUACAGAACAAGAACAUUAAAUAUGAAAUGAAACCUUAACUGUGUGUAAAAAAGCUUUUCAAUUUUAUACCAUAUCUCUUUGGUCGGUUUAGUUUGAUUUUGUUGUAGUUUUUAGUUGUAUUUUCUUUUCUUUUUUUAUUGUAUAAAUUUUCUUUUUAUCAUUUCGUAUAUGUUUCAAUAGCGAUCUUUGUCUUGAAAACAAUUUUAUUUUUUUCAAUCGUUCAAGUUUGUGUGUGUAUAUGUAAAAUAAUGCUUUCAUGUUAAUAAUGGGAUAUACAUAUAGACGUAGUGAUAGUUAAAUGUUUAUUAGGUAUGUAGUUAUUAUAAUGUCUUUCAAGGAAUUUAUGCGAAAGUUUUGGUUUUUUUAUUAACAAAAUGAAGAUGUGGGAUAUGAUUGCUGACGAGACAAUAUAUACACCAGGGUUGAAACAGAUUUCAAAUAACGUGAAUGUAUGCAUUAUAGGUCACCGUCUGAUAAAGACCCAAACCACACUGUGUAUUCGUGUUUAAACAUCUAUUUUAAAUUGUGAUUUUGAUGGAGAGUUGUCUCAUUGGCACUCAUAUCACAUCUUCCUUAAUUUGUCUAUUUACUGACAUGAAAAAUGUCAAACAAUUCAAACGUGAAAAAAACUAACGGCUUAUUUGUGACAAUUUAGUUUACGAAAAACAAAUAUGAUAGACAUUAAUCGUCGACAACCACUGAAAUGCAGGGUCCCGGAUAGAGAC